rnacentral:rRNA from 1 species
GACGAAGGUGGCUAGCGUUGCUCGGAUUUACUGGGCCUAAAGCGCGCGUAGGUGGUCGUGUAAGCGGGGGAUGAAAGCCCAUGGCUCACCCAUGGAACUGUCCCCCGGACUGCACGGCUCGAGGAAGGAAGGGGAGAAUGGAAUUCCCGGUGUAGCGGUGAAAUGCGUAGAUAUCGGGAGGGACGCCGGUGGCGAAAGCGAUUCUCUGGUCCUUUCCUGACACUGAGGCGCGAAAGCUAGGGGAGCAAACAGG